GCCAGGAAUGUAAUGCCUCUAGUUAUCUUCAUAAUGGCCAUCACUCAGAUGUGUCCGUUUUAGACUUGGGAAGAUUCUCCCAGUGGUAUUAAAUCCACCGGAGACUUUGAUUUCAGUAUCAUCUUGCAUGAAAGUUCUUAUGAAUUUCUGCUUUUCUCAGUAUUUUGAUCUUUCUUUCUCAGCUAAACUAAGAAAGGUGUCCUACAACUUAAUUAUUAAGAACAAGGAGGUUGUGGGGUACUUCUGUUACCUCAGAGCCCCUCCUCCUCGGAACUCCUUUGCAGCAGAAUUUUCUGAUAUGAAGGUGGUUUUAGGUAUGCUACCUGGCAAGCAUGAAGUCCCCUUUUCCUUGGCUGAAGAUUCUUCACUUCCAAGAAGACUCCACCACUCAGAAGAUUGCUUUCAGACUUUACUUCCCAUUACUAUUGGAUAUGUUGUGUUUAGUGCCAGCCUGCAUGUGCUCAGGUGACAAGAAAUGCUGUGGGAGAAACCUCAGACCUUUAUAGGUUCAGUGAGAUAUGAGAGUAUGUUUUGAGGAUUGUGGGCUUGAAAUAACCAGCCUAUCCAUCUUGCAAGACCAGUUAUCCAACCUGUACCUUGCCUGUUCACCUAGGAGAAGGUUGUGGGAAACAACAUCAAGCACUUUGCUGAAGUUCAGAUAAAAAUAUCCACUACUUUCCCAAGUCAACAGAAAAUGUUAUUUUGUUGUAGAAGGGGUGAUCAGGUGAAUCAGGCAUGAUGUGCCUUUGGUAAACCCACGUUGGCUUCACUCAGUCACCUGCUUGAUUUGGUUUAGAACGGUUUCUAGGAGGACUCUUUUGAUUACUUUCACUGAACCAUAGAAUAGAUUGUGUUGGAAGGGAUCUUAAAGAUCAUCUAAUUCCAAUCCCCCUGCCAUAAGCAGGCACACCUUCCACCAGCCAGGUUGCUUAAAGCCCCAUCCAACCUGGCUUCGAACGCUUCCAGGGAUGGGGGUGUUCCCAGAGACUGAAGUAAGACUAAGGGGCUCCUGGCUCCUCAUUUGGGCCUUCUCAUAGAUGGCUAUGGCAUUUAUGAUAUGAAUUCCAGUCAUCAUUUGGGGCAGACUUCUCUGGCUUCCUAAAGAACAAAGAUUUAUUCUAAUUGUAAAUUAUGUCCUGCAGUAUAUUGACUCUUCUUUAGCUGAUCUCCCUCCCUUUUUUAAGAUUUGUUAGGGUUAUGUGGUAGGGAAGAGAUGACUCUAUGUGGGUUAGAUUCCAUCAGCACGCUAUUUGCUUAAUCUAAUCUGCACUGUCUCUUUUAAACUGACAUUCGCCUCUACCCAGCAAAGUUAGAAUAGUAUCCAGGUCAUGUAAAACAGUUUUAUUUCCAGGAUCCUUGCUGUAAAAUGUAAAAUUCUCCUUUCUUUAAACACAGGUUCUAUAUACAUCCCAUAGUGACAAAACAUGCAAUAUACCAUCUGUUGAAAUUUUAAAUUGCUUAACUUCUUGGAGU
rnacentral:lncRNA from 1 species